rnacentral:rRNA from 1 species
UGCCAGCCGCCGCGGUAAUACGGAGGGGGUUAGCGUUGUUCGGAAUUACUGGGCGUAAAGCGCACGUAGGCGGAUCAGAAAGUUAGUGGUGAAAGCCCACAGCUCAACUGUGGAACUGCCAUUGAUACUGGUUGACUUGAGUACAGAUGAGGUAGGCGGAAUUUAUGGUGUAGCGGUGAAAUGCAUAGAUACCAUAAAGAACACCGAUAGCGAAGGCAGCUUACUAAACUGUUACUGACACUGAGGCACGAAAGCAUGGGUAGCGAACAGGAUUAGAUA